UUAAUUAAAUUACAAAAAGACGAAAACGACGCCGCAGCCAGGUAGGCGCACAAUUAACUAGCCGCCUAGGUUUUCAAUUUCAACUUUUAGUGGCUGGUGACCUCCGAGCUCCGACCCGAAUUAGUAGCAGAGAGAGUAGAGGUUUAGGGUUUAAGGCCAGGCCAACAGCGACGGAGCGGAACAGCGAAGCUAAGAGAGGGAGAGAGAGAGAUGGUGAGGCUGACUGCCGACUUGGUAUGGAAGAGCCCUCACUUCUUCAAUGCUCUUAAGGAGCGAGAGUUGGAUCUCCGAGGUAAUAAGAUUGCUGUGAUUGAAAACUUGGGAGCUACAGAGGACCAAUUUGACACCGUUGAUUUGUCUGACAAUGAAAUCGUCAAGCUCGAAAACAUGCCCUAUCUUAAUCGUUUGGGUACUUUGAUUAUUAAUAACAACCGAAUCACCCGUAUCAAUCCCAACAUUGGAGAGUUCUUGCCGAAGUUACACACCUUGGUGCUUACCAACAACAGGCUAGUCAACCUGGUAGAGAUUGACCCUCUUGCGUCCCUCCCAAAGUUGCAGUACCUUAGCCUUUUGGAUAACAACAUCACCAAGAAACCCAACUAUAGGCUUUACUUGAUUCAUAAGUUAAAAUCGCUUCGGGUUCUGGAUUUUAAGAAGGUGAAGAACAAGGAGAGACUGGAAGCACAAACUUUGUUUUCAUCUAAAGAGGUUGAAGAAGAGACUAGAAAGGUAUCUCCCCAAAAAUUCAUGCCUGCAGAGGUUCCAGAAGUUUCCCAGGAACAACAGGCUCCAAAAGUUGUUGCCCCCACUCCUGAACAAAUUAUGAAAAUCAAGGCUGCCAUAGUGAAUUCCUCAACUCUUGAAGAGGUUGCUAGACUUGAAAAGGCACUGAAGUCAGGUCAGCUUCCUGCAGAUUUGGAAAUUUUUGAUGAUGAUGCUGAACCCAAUAGUGUCCAAGAAAAGGAUGAUAAAAUGGACACAACUACUGAAAAUGAGGCUAGUACUGAACCAAAAGAGAUGGAGGAGCAGAAGAACGAUGAAGCUGAAGUGAUGGAACAGGAUGAGUAGGUAAAUGAGCUAGUCCAACGGUUGCAUUGAGAUUUGAAUUGGAGAGCUUUUGAGAGUCACCGUAUCAUGCUUUUGGAUUGUCCACGGUCAAACACCCCGACCUUGUUGACCUUAUCACUUCUCGAUCCACUUGGGAAGAAUCAAUUGUUUAGCAAGGAGUAGGAGAAUCCAAAUAUAUCCUGGCAUCGUAAAGCUUGUCCGAUUCGAACCCCUUGGCUGCGCCUGGAAAAGUUAUUGAUUCGGAAACUCUGCUAUUCCUUGAACUCUGUUCAAUAUAUACGAGAGAACAAGGGGAUUCUGCCUGUGUAAGAACAAUUUAUUUUUGCCUGAUUAAUUAACACUAAUCUUUUCCCUUUCUAACAUUGCUUUUGGGAGAGUUGGAACGGUUCAUAUCUGUAUUAUGUUGAUACAAAGUUUGUGUCAAAUUUCAUAUGUUCGUGUUGUUUGAGUUACAAAAUAACGAAAGCCGUCAACCACUGCACAAUUUUUUCUUA